rnacentral:lncRNA from 1 species
CUCCGCAAACAAUUUGAGAGAAAAAAUUUAAUUUAAUUUAAUUUGAUUUGAUGAGAGGUGAGGCGGCCAAAUGGGGGGGCUAAUUACACACAAAACCUCAAUACACGAAAAAAACCCCAAAUCAGAAAGAGGAUACUUGAAUCAGAAAACUCCUUCCCGAUUUCGAAUUCGACUCCAAUGUUCUUACCGAGAUUAAUCAUCACCCACCACGUGAAGGAGCCGCUUCAACCACCAAAGAUGAGUACUCCGAGACUGAAAAAGUCUAUGACCACUUCGAAAAACAGCAAAUCGAAGAGCAUGAGGAGGGGGUUUAGAUCGAGCACAUGAAGCUUGCUAAUGGGUACUAUGAGAUUGAGGCCAUACGCACAAAGCGAGUUUGAACAGUCCAUCAUUUCUUCUUUCCAUCUUUUCUCAUAAAAUUGAAAUAACCGUGCUAUUUGACUUCUAUUAGAUGCAAAUGACUCUUUUGUCAAGCGUGAAUCCCAUAUUAAUAAUAAUCAGGUAUGAGUUUUAGCUUUUACAUUUGUUAUUUUCUUCACUGUAUAUAGUAGAAAUUUUGCAAAAGUGUCGAUUCUCCAAGUUUUUGAAAUCGAUACGGUGAAAUUGCAGGUGGAGGGUAAAGUUUUGGAACAUUUCUGGUUGCUUCUGUUUGGAAAUUAUUGGCAUUGAUAUUUGUUCCAUCUCAUAGGAUUUUGUCUAGCGAUUUAUGAUGUAUGUGGUGGAGAAUAGAGAAGGAUGUUAAUAUAUAUGGCCUGUGAUUUUGAUGAUCUUGGAGAGGUUUUAUCGUCUUCCUCGUCAUACUUACAUUGGUUAUACAUUGACAAAUCUAUUAGCUAAUGUUGUCAUUGUUUUAACAUUUGGUGAGUUGGAUUUAUAAAAUCGAUUAUUUUGAAUUAGAUUCAAGCUUUUAUCUGAUUUGGCUGUUGAGUGCACGGCUUACAUUGAGCCUUUGACGUGUGAUCAUCUCUUUAACAUACACUUUGACUCUCUCAUUAACUCUAUAUUUGUUUGAAGAGCUAGCAGAUUGAUUUUCAUUAGUUGAAGUGGAACUUAAAUAAGGAGCAAAGAGCCUGUUGGCAAUGUGAUUAGGUUUAGUUUAACCCUUGUAAUAUAGAUAAUUGACAUUUAUGAAGUAUCUUUUUGAUUAUUUUGCUAUUGUGAUUGGGAACAUGUUUGAAAAUAAAAUUUUUGAACUUGAGAAGAAAUUGAUUGUGUCAAUAUAUAUGAAAAAUUAGCUUUAAAUCAAUUAAAUUGAUGCAUACAAAGUGUUUGACGAUAGGAGAAUGUGAAAAGUGACAUUCUGUCAUUUUUCUAAAAAAAGUCAUACUAUCUCAUUUGAGCAAUUAACUAAUUGUAUACAUGUGUAUUUUUAAAAAUUUGAACAUAUAAAUUCAAGCAUUAAUGUUUUAUUUUAAUACAUAAAAGAUAGUUUUGAAUUAAUUAGAUUGAUGCAUGCAAUGUGUUUAUUCAAGGAAAAUGUAGAAAAGUGACAUACUUUUUAAAAAAAGUCACGUUAUCUCAUUUGAGCAAUUAACUAGAUACAUAUGUGUGCGUUUUUUUUUAUUUUUGGAAAAUUUAAGCAUACAAAUUCAAGCCUUGUUUUAUAUCAGUAUAUAUGAAAAGGAAAACUUUGAAUCCAUUAGAUUGAUGCAUGUGAGGUGUUUGCUCAAGGAGAAUGUGGAAAAUCGUGUCACUUUUUAUUUUCUGUCAAUUUUUUUAGUUUGUAUCACUUUUUUAAAUUCGUCACUUUUUAAAGUUUCUGUCACUUUUUUUAACUUUUGUCACCUUUUUAAGUAGUUGUGACUUUUUAGUCUAUCACUUUUUUAGUGACAAACAUAAUUUUUUAAUAAAAGUGAGAUUGUUGAAAACGAUUUUUCAAAAGACUCCUAAUUUUAAGGGUAUUUUUGUAAGUUGCCCUUUUGUUAAAGUAACAAGAGGAUAUUAGGCCCACUAUAUGGCUUCUUUGAAGAACGGCGUUCUUACAAAACUUCUCGAAGAGACAAAAAUGGAAGAAAAGGAUUUCAACGAUGUGUAGAAACCUGUAUUACUACAAAUCAAGAGCAUAAUACCCAUACUAGAAGAAGGUAAUCUUUGGCCUAACAAAGGAUUUUCUUAAAUGUUUUAGAUAUGGAACACCAUGUAUUUGUUUAAUUGCCUCAAUUAUUACAAAUCAAGAGCAUAAUACCCGUACUGGAAGAAGGUAAUCUUUGGCCUAAUAGAGAAUUUUCUUAAAUGUUUUAGAUAUGGAACACCAUGUAUUUGUUUAAUUGCCUCAAGAAGAUAAUGAUGUGAUUUUGGGUAACAUAUUAAAACUUGGGCAAUUUGUAUAUGUGCAGAAGUUAGAUAAAGCUACCCCAAUUCCGUUGCUCAGAGGCAUAACCUAUAUUCCAGGGUGGCAUCCAUG